rnacentral:lncRNA from 1 species
GGGUCCCAGGGGGUCCGGCAAGCUCUGGGAGUUCCUUGGACUGAUCCAUCCCCAAGGAAUGGAGGAAUGCACUCUGCAGCUCCUGGAGCAGCUCCAGGUGGAGGUGCAGAAUUUUGUCCUCUGAGUGGCUGCAGAGUUCUCCUCCAGGAAGGAGAAGCUUGGGUUUCUGGUCAACAACUAUGACAUGAUGCUCGGGGUGCUGAUGGAGCGGGCUGCUGAUGACAGCAAAGGGGAGGAGAGUUUCCAGCAGCUGCUCAAUGCUUGGACACAGGACUGAGCCCCAACUCAAGGGCAGAGGGAGGAGCUGCCUGUGGCCCCUGAACCGGUGUGCAGCAGCAUUUCCUUCCUGCGCUCCAGCUAUCUUUGGAGCCACUCCACGCAGGUGCUCUCCAGGUCAUCGUUCAGGGCUAUGUAAUCGCGACCAUUGUAGGCUGUACUGCCAGUACCCGUGGAGGAGGCUCCCGUCGGACCCUACGUCACAGUCAUACAACCACUGGAACAUCUCCCAGUACACAGGGCCCUGGAGCUUCAUCCAUGGCGCACGCGGCUCAUAUCUCAGAUUCUCCACGUCGCUGUCGAAGCGCACGAACUGCGUGUAGUCCACGUCGCCGGCUUCCAUGUACAGGGGCUUCCCGUGGCCCGGCCGGGACAUGGCAGUGGAGAAAUACCGCAUCGAGUGUGAGCCUGAGGGCGGCGCGCAGUGAAACCCUGACCUCCUCCCCGGACCCCGGGCUUGUGAGCGGGUCUGGAAGGGAGCAGGGCGCCGGUCUUGCGACGUGGCUGGAGAAGGGGCGGAGGGUCGGGUGGGCGGCGCGGGGACCGGGCUUCCCCUGUGCAGUCCCCGACCCGCCCAUGCCCCCAGAAGCCUUUUCCCUCCCGACCCCGCACCCACCCGUGCGCGUCUGGGUCCAGGCCAGGGCGGUCGCCUGCAGCAGAAGCAGCUUUCGCUGCACUUGCCCCCUUCUGGCAAUCAGGAAGGGUCUGAGUUCUGAGAUCUGCCAGGACUUCACAACCAGAGCCCUUGGCCAAGGUGGCUGGUUUCCCAAGAUCUUGCUAUCUAAUGGGGGUGAGAUCUGAGAGCAGGUCAUUCAUUAGUGUCCUGGAGAAGGACCUGACCCAGGUUAGGAGCAGAAGUGAAAUUGGGGAGAUGGGGAAUCCAGGGCCCUGGGAUUGCCCACCCCUGACCUAGGCUGGACUAAGAAUUUGCUUCCAACACUUAUAAUUGAAAUAAAAUACUAAGAAGUUUGCCUUAUAAUAGCUUAGUGCAAAUAGAACUGCAGAAUAGGAUAAUUCCUCAUCUUCAGGCACUGCAGCUUUAGCUCAGAGUUCUCUGACUUCCCCAGGAAGAUUGUUGGAGAACUGCACUUCCCAGUUAUCUGCUGCACUGUAGCAAAGCAGCCAAGCUCAGCAUGUGGAGACAGCACAGCACUGAUACUUCCCACAGUCUGUGACAUCAAGAGUCCUUGGUGACCCUGGUUCAGGAACUCUCCCAGGUCCUGUUUUCUUCUUGCUGUGUUUUCUCAAGGCUUCUCUAGAGCUGGGGUCACAUGAGAUAAGGUUUCCUCAUAUGGCAGCUGGAAAGGACUCAGGUUCUGGCUGGCUGGCCCAGAGAGACAUCUGUCUCUUAUUUACCUAGAAGUCUCUUUAGACUGCUCUUGAAAGAGCAGCUUACUUACCUAGAGCCAGCCAUGAGAGAGAGAGAGAAAGAGAGAGAGGGAGAGAAAGAAAGAGAGAGAGAGAGAGAGAGAAUGAUAGAAUAUUACAGAAUGUGUGCAAUAGGUUCAUGAUCCAAUACAAGAACAUGACCAUACUAUCAGUCUCUCUCUGUCAGGAAAAGGGAGAGAGCAGGUCCUGACCACCUGAGAGGAUGGAAUCAAGGGCAGAGCUGCAAAUCUGUGAAUACUCACUCUAACUACAAUGUUACUCCAGCAUCCUGUGAGUCAGAUGGACAUUUAGUGAUCUUUUUGCAAGGUUUAAAAAAAAACAGUUUAAAAUUUGAUACAACAAAAGAAGACACAAGUUUCUCAGUUUUCAUUGAAAGGUCUUUACAACG